rnacentral:rRNA from 1 species
AUUCCAGCUCCAAUAGCGUAUAUUAAAGUUGUUGCGGUUAAAAAGCUCGUAGUUGGAGUUCUGCCAGGUGGCGCUCGUCCGCCCAAGUGGUGUGUACAGGGCGUGCAUCUGGCCCUUUCAAGGGGAACGUGUCUGCACUUCAUUGUGUGGUGCGAGAUCCUUGACUUUUACUUUGAGGAAAUAAGAGUGUUCCAAGCAGGCUCUCGUCGUGCAUAGCUCAGCAUGGAAUAAUAGCAUUGGACUUCGUUUCUACGCUGUUGGUUGCAAGAAGCGAGGUAAUGAUGAAGAGGGACAGUUGGGGGCACUCGUAUUCCGCCGAGAGAGGUGAAAUUCUCAGACCAGCGGAAGACGAACCACUGCGAAAGCAUUUGCCAGGGAUGUUUUCAUCG